AUCUGCUUCACUGGAGUCUAGUUUGUGAGCCCAGGAUAGGCACAGGGGGAUAGCCUGCUAGUGUGCAUCAAAGAUUUCCUUCCUGAGGAGUGUACAGCCUUCCUGGACCCCUUCACCCCUCAGGACUGACUCUGAGGGGACCGCCCCAGAAAAUAUGCAUUCACUAGGAGAACAGGUCUUAGAGGCUGAAAAAAGUAUAAUAAGCACUCUCCAUGUCUUUGAAAAGAAGAUCCAAACCAAUGGAUUAAUGAAAUAAGGCAAUACCUGCAUCUUGAGAAAUUGCUAAAAUCCUUGGGCAUCAGCAAAUGUGUGCUCUCCUCCAGAACAGUUGUGAAGUACUGUCUAGUAGUUAGUGGGGUCACUGAACUACUGAAGUCAAUAUUACUUGCAGGCAUUCAUAAAUGUUCAGCUGCAGCCACCAGCUGUAUAAAUCUGUGCCACAGAGAAACACGGUUAAUUAUUCUGUGCAAAUGUCCACAUGAACACAUCUAUUUUAAUUCUGAUACCUGAAUAAAGUCAUUACUUAGCACAGGAACUUCUUUAUGACACCACAUUGUACAAUACAGCAAUAAAAAAGAUUGCUGUGAUUUGCUUCUUGGAAAGUCCCUAUUGAUCCUGCAGUAUCUUUAUGUCUUUUAUUUUUGUCUCUAGUGCUGAGGGAGAUGAAACAUCUUCAAGAAAGAAAGAUUUUAUUGUUUAUCCCUUUUCCUCGAGGUUGAUGACACCCCUCCACACACACUAAAAUUUUUAUGACAGAAGUGCGAGGAUUUCAUGACUUCCCUACAAGAACUGUAGAACCUGAAAAUAAAUGAGAUUCAUCUGUAACAAAAUCUGUAAUUAUUGGUUAGAAUUAAGCCAACAAUCCUUAUAAAGAUAAUGCAUGACUUGAUCACCUAAUGCCUGAUAAAUAUUGCAUUAAACACAUGUUUGGGGGAUUCUGCUAACAUUCUUAGAUGGAUAUUUGAUGUCUACAUAAGAACUGUUAUGUGGGCAUAUAUCAGGCUUCUUGUUUUCAAGCAGCUGCUAGAAAGCUAAUGUAUUUAAGUUCUUUGCGCUUUCGACAUGUAGUGCAGUUUCUCUAUGGGAAAAUGGUAAAAAUGUUUGCAGUUAUAAGUAGUUCAAAAAUGUUUCUUCAUACAUAUUAAUGCUUGUUUUCCUAAAUUUCCUUUCUUUUUUUUUCUUUUGUCGUUGAUACUCUGAUUAUCUAAAAGUAGGUAUUACUUAAACCAAAAUCCCUGAAUGGAUCUAUGUCUUGAACCAUGGUCAGUGCCAUUUAGUUUACACUUUUGGUAGCUAACCCUCCCCUCCACUGUGUACAAAGGUAGUAGACUUUGUUUAAGAUUAUCUUUCAUAUAACUGAUAGAUCAAUAACUCAGGUCUAAGUGUAUUUCACAGCUUAUUUGUCCCAAGCCCACGAUUCCAGUUUGAGCACUCUGCAGUAAGCAAAUGCCAAGCAAAGCCAUACAAACAAUGUACAUUGGUCUAUAAGUUUGUUAUUUUCAGAUCACCUUUUAUAUUCAGAUGGGAAAAUUCUUGACUUUGUCUACAUUAUGAAAUUAUUCUCUCCAUCUAUUGUGGGGAAAGAUGAACAGGAAGAAACCUGCUGAGAAUUAAUUCAGUAAAUUUCAGUUGUUAUUGUGCGGUAAAUACUUUCCACAUAAGAAAGAAAUGGUGGUUAGGUUUUGACUAUCUUUAUUUGAUUCAGACUGAAAUGAGCCCCUGCUGAAAUAUUUGUGAAAGGACUACCAUUAAGAUACUUUAUGUAGAUCCAUUUAUAUAAAAUCCACAACAUAUGAGACAGAAUUAGAUUGAGAAGACAAACCUCAUGAAUCUCCUGAGAAAAAGAAACAGAAAAAAACUUUUCAUGCUACAUUUGUUUUAUUAGCUUCUGUUUAAUUCUGUAGUUAACUUGACCCCUCAUUCUAAAACAAAGCUAA